rnacentral:rRNA from 1 species
UACGAAGGGGGCUAGCGUUGCUCGGAAUCACUGGGCGUAAAGGGCGCGUAGGCGGGCUGCCGAGUCCGGGGUGAAAUCCUCCCGCUUAACGGGAGAACGGCCCCGGAUACUGGCGGCCUCGAGGCGGGUAGGGGCGUGCGGAACUAUGGGUGGAGCGGUGAAAUGCGUUGAUAUCCAUAGGAACUCCGGUGGCGAAGGCGGCACGCUGGACCCGAUCUGACGCUGAGGCGCGAAAGCCAGGGGAGCGAACGGG